CCACAAAGCAGCAGCAGCAGCAGCAGCAGUACUCGCAGAAGCAGUAGCAGCACGAGCAGCUGAGUGUCUCAAUCGUGCAUUUACCCGCUGCUGCUGUCGGAAUUUCUGCAGUCAUUUAACAAUCAUUUGGUGUAUCGAUCUGCCUCGCGCGGCAUAGUGUCUCAGUCACGUUUUCGCCGUUGUUAUUGGUGUUGUUAUUGUUAAUAUUGUUAUUGCUAAUCAUUUAAAUGUUGAAAUUGUUAUUGUUUACAGCAGCUAGUCAAUAGCAGUAGUGGUAGUAGUUAAUAAUAGAAGUGGCGAUGCGAGUCGUAUUGUUAUACACGAUAUGUUAAUGGUGGAGACUGAAGGUAGAUCACUCGAUUUAUACAUUAGGACGGUAACUAAUCGAUAACUGUUCAGUGGAUUGUCGAUAUUGCAUAUGACGAAUCAUAGUGAAAGAAGUUUUUGCGGUAUUCGCCCUUGUCCUUUGGAAUAAUGUGAAAUGUGAACAAGUGAAUUUUUUUAUAACUCUGCAAACAUUCCCAGCAGUAUUCAAGAGGAAGGACUAACAUUAAGAUGUGGCCAACUGGUGGGAGGUUAGUAAAAGAGGACCAGAGUUCCACUGGCGGAUGAAACUGAAAGGCGACUGAUCGUCAAGCAUAGAUUGACAUUCAAGCUAAAGUUAAUCUCAUGCUGAACGACAGAAGGUUUGAUGAUGAAACGGGUGCCGACCCAGAACGCAACGGAAAUGGAGUUCCUACUUCGAUUUAUACUCAGGUCCCUCAUCUUGAGUCAACGAUGGACUCUUUCACAUAUGACCCAUCGCUUGUCACGGUUGGAAACAUGUCGAACCUUGGGAACCUUGGUAGCCUGGGCAAUAAAGAAGUUCGUUAUGCUUCAUUCUCAACAGUUCCAGCUUCGCUACCAUCGAUGCUUCCGCCACCGUUGCCACCACCCCCACCACCUCUUCCUCUUCACAUGCAACAACGCAUUUAUUCGCGUUCCAUGACAUCCUUACCACCGGAGCCUUUCAUGCUGAUGCGUUCAAAAGCUUUGAACAGAAGAGUCUGCAUUAAUGUCGGUGGUGUUAAACACGAAGUUCUUUGGCGUACUCUGGAAAGACUGCCUCACACUCGUCUCGGACGUCUCCGAGACUGCAAUACUCACGAAGCAAUAACUGAGCUUUGUGACGAUUACUCGCUUAUAGACAACGAAUUUUUUUUCGAUCGACAUCCCAAGUCGUUUAGCUCAAUAUUAAAUUUCUACAGGACUGGGAAACUCCAUUUAGUUGACGAGAUGUGCGUUCUAGCAUUCAGCGAUGACUUAGAGUACUGGGGUAUCGACGAGCUUUAUCUCGAAAGCUGCUGCCAGCACAAAUACCACCAACGGAAGGAGCACGUUCACGAGGAAAUGAGAAAGGAGGCCGAGUCUCUUCGGCAACGAGAGGAGGAGGAAUUCGGGGAAGGAAAAUGUGCGCAAUAUCAAAAAUGUCUCUGGGAUCUUCUCGAAAAACCAACAACCUCUAUAGCUGCCAGGGUGAUAGCUGUGAUAUCAAUACUCUUUAUUGUGCUAUCAACCAUCGCAUUAACUCUCAACACCAUUCCUAGUAUGCAAGUGAAUGACGAAAAAGGAAACUUUCAAGACAAUCCACAACUUGCAAUGGUGGAAGCGGUUUGCAUCACUUGGUUUACACUUGAGUAUGUACUUAGGUUCAGUGCCUCCCCUGACAAGUGGAAGUUCUUUAAGGGAGGCCUAAACGUAAUAGACCUUCUCGCAAUACUUCCUUACUUCGUGUCUCUAUUCCUCGUCGAAACAAACAAGAACGCAACGGACCAAUUCCAGGAUGUGCGUCGUGUAGUUCAGAUAUUUCGUAUAAUGCGCAUUUUGAGGAUACUGAAGCUUGCACGCCAUUCAACCGGGCUCCAAAGCUUGGGCUUUACGUUACGUAAUUCAUACAAAGAGCUCGGCCUGUUGAUGCUAUUUCUUGCAAUGGGCGUCUUGAUAUUCUCAAGUCUCGCUUAUUUUGCCGAAAAGGAAGAACCUGGAACUAAAUUCAUAAGCAUUCCCGAGACAUUUUGGUGGGCAGGAAUCACCAUGACAACCGUAGGCUAUGGAGAUAUUUACCCAACUACUCCCCUCGGCAAAGUGAUUGGAAGUGUAUGUUGUAUAUGUGGUGUCCUGGUAAUUGCGUUACCCAUUCCAAUUAUCGUCAAUAAUUUUGCCGAGUUCUACAAGAAUCAGAUGAGGCGCGAAAAAGCACUGAAGCGCCGAGAGGCUUUGGAAAGGGCGAAGCGAGAAGGAAGCAUUGUUUCCUUCCACCACAUCAACCUGAGGGACGCCUUCGCUAAGAGUAUAGAUCUCAUCGACGUCAUCGCUGACACGGGUCAGAACAUGUCGGGAAUAGAUGGAAACAGCACGGAGGGUGAAUCCGCGUGUGGUCGAGGCCCUGCGCAGACUGGUGCGGGAUGCUACCGUAACUACGAGCAUUGCAGCAUAUCUACUCAUCGCCGAAGCGCCUCAACGUGCUUGCCAACAUUGCCGAAUGAUCUGUCAACCCCGGAGAGUCCGAACCAUCGUCUGCUUGACUUUGCCACCAGUUCAUCACCUAAUAGGAACGAUCACUAUUUCCAAGAUGAUAUUCCAAUCCAGCCAUCAACUCAAGGGAAUACCACUCCUAGUGAUGAAGAGAAGAAGGAUUCCAGAAAAUUUGACAAAAUUGAAGAACUGCCUAGUGAAUUCGAAUGCUGUUUCUGUACUACUAAGGCGUAUAAGGAUUUUAGAGAUGCUGAGAAUCUCAUGCCUUUGGCUACAAGUGAUUUCCGGAAUCCAGUUUGCCAGGAACUGAGAGCCCUGCGCGACAGCAAUGCAGAAUCAAACAGUUUCGGAUACAAUCAGAAUUCACCAAAUCAAGACAAUUACUCGAAUUCAUGUUUUAAAAAUAAUAACGAGUCAUGCAGCGCGGACAGCACGGAUACCUUUGCCAGUUGCCACACACAUUUUUUCAAUUCUCAAGGUGACCUCACGGAGGAAGGUGAUAGUAACUUGUACAUAAACCCAUUGGAAAGUACAGACAAGUGCAACAGCUGUCAUCGUCAACAGUCCACUUCAACGAACACGACGAAGUCUACGACAACAGGCGUUCUGCUACACAUAUCCAAUGUACAAUCUUCCGAGCAGCCCGCGCAGACAUUAAAUCCACCGAAUGAAGAUGGCAAAGAAAAUUUCAGCGAUACCUCUGUACCUAAGCAUAAGAAAACUCGGAUUCAACAAAGCGGAAAGCAACGCACCCAUUUUGGCGUUAAUCCUGAUUCUUUAUCGAGUAUUGUUGGAGUCUCGACGGAAAAUACUAUCACUGGAGAUAACAAUAACCAAUACGGACUGAUCGACAGCCUCAGAAAUGGCAUCCUGACACCAGCAGAUUACUUUGCCUCUCCAUCCCGAGUGAUUAACCAUCAUUUGUUUGGAAAUGUUGGUGGCUUGAAACAUUCCUACUCUGGGAAAUCUAUUGGAAGUAAGCUGUCCUUAUCCAGCAACUCGAUAGAUAGUGAAACAAUGCCGUUUUUAGACCGGCACCGUGUUUCCAAAUCAAUUCUAAAAAAAUCAGAUAUCAGCAAUGUUCGAUACAACAACGGCUGGGACUCAGAUAAGGAAAAACUGAUAUCAGAAAAUACGUCUGCUACCAGCGUGUAUGACAGCGAAGGUGAUAUUCGGACAGAUUUGUUACUGAUAAAAGGUCCAGUCCUCAAGCUGUCGCAGUCAUCUGAACAACAAUCUUCUGGGAUAAUUUUCCAGACGAAGAAUGAAAGCAAUCGAAACGACGUUUCAGAUCAUAUCAGUACAAAAAACUUUACAGCUGCAUUAUCGAAAACUCUUUUUGACUCACAUAAAGAUGCACGAGACGAAAUGGUCACAGACAACAAAGUCAAAGAGUGUAACGACGAUAGUGCACAAGAGGAUUACAAAAAAAGCGAAAGUGCGACAGGGAAAAGUCAACACAAUACUCUGCUGAUUUGUCCGCCGCAGUCAAACGAUGAAAAUAUUAGGGAAAAUAGCAUCCAUCGUGAAAGGAAGAAGCCGACACCGAAUAAACCGAACACGAAUCAAACCACCGCUAUUCGUUUGAACACAAAUUCAAACUGUUGUAGCUUCGCUACGUAGCAGAGAAGUCGUUACGUAUAUGUGUAAUAAAGAAUGGAAUUAAUCUACAAGGGAGACUGGAAGUUCUGAUAUCUCCUUAAGGCAAGACCCUAGUGAAAUUUGAAAAUUCGACUUUCUAACAUUUUGGAUGGGUAAAUCCGGAGCACUUUGGUAAAAUAUGGUUGUGGCGUCACCAGUUAUUAUUAUUAUUAUUAUUAUUAUCUUCAAAGAUUCAGAAUAAAAGUCAAGUAAAAGUAAAAGAGAGAAAUGCAAAUGAUUUUCGCGUGGUUGUAAAUUUAUAGUAAGAUAACUUGGAACAAGAUCAAGAUUACUAUAUAUAUUGUUUUACACGAAACUAUCCACACAUAGUAAGAUUAACUAGGCAUCCUUGACAGGUCAACUGUAACAUCAUCAUCGUAUGAGACCUAUAAAUGUAAUUCCAUUAUCCACAACUUCACAGUUGCAGUAUCAAGUGUGUGCAGUCCCCGUGAAACUUUAUCAUUCAAAGAAAUCACGAAAUCCAUAGAUAUCAAAAAAUCUCGACACCUUUCUUUCGAAGCCUGUAUCUCAGAAACUACUGAUUUUUGGGAAUUGUGUCCAUGAGAACUUUUGAUUGGGAGGAUAUGUCCUAUAACAUACUGAAAAUCCAGCCAAUUCGACCGGGAUCCAAUUUGCGUAAGGAUUCUGCGGGGUCUUUUAUCGUUCAACGGACCAUCCGUUGGCACCUAGUUGCCUCUACAAUAUACAAAUCGUAGGUUCCAACAAUAAUGUUACGGUUAUCUGUACUAUGAUACCAUAAUGAUUUUCAACAAUAAAAUGUAGCAGUCACCUCCAAUCACCCUAUUUCAGAGUUAAAAUAUGGUAAAUUCAAUUAUAUUUUUCUGAGAAUGUCAAUUCUUGAAACUUCUACUCAAUUUUAAAUGUUGAGUUCAUUUUCUUAAUCUUUACACGAAAAAUAUUGCUAGGGUUAACGGUGAUUCGUAUAGUUAACCCUUCAUUAGGCGCAUGGGGACGUAGAAAUCCCAGGUAUAUUACUUGUUUCCGCUGCUACAAAAAAAAAUUUACGGUGUUGCUAUUUUCAGUACCUUUCAGAAACCUUUCAAUAAAGCCAUUCUCUAUGUUAGCGUCCUGUUUUCGCCGUUUAUUCCGCAACAAUAAGUCAUUAAACUCCGUCAGGGUCUCCACGGACCUACAAGUUCGUUUCUACAAGUGGCGGUUGAACAAAAUCGUUUCUACAAGUGGCGGUUGAACAAAAUCGUUUCUAUAAAUGCCGAUCCUACAAGUUCGUUUCUACAAAUGGUGAUCCUAUAAGUGCGUUUCAACAAAUGGUGGUCCUACAAGUUCAUUCCUACAAGUGGCGUCUAAUGUAUGAGAAACGAACUUGUAGGACUGCAACUUAUAAAAACGAAUUUGUAGGAUCGCCACUUGUAGAAAUGAACUUGUAGGACCACCACUUGUAGGAACCAACCUUUUGGAACCAAACAGGAGAACGAACUAAUAGGAUCGCCACAUGUAAAAACGAACUUGCAGAACUGUUCACUUGUAGAAACGAUACCUUCUCGCACCGGCAUUACUGAUCGGGGUGUAUAACAGGAGUAAGUAUUAUUUGUGACACAGAACUAAACACACAACAAUGUCUUUGUCUAUGUCAGCUUGAAUUUUAACAAAAGUUGAAGAUUAUGUUAUUAUAAAAUUGGGGAAUUAUAAAUAUUUAUUUUCUCAGUACGUGUACUUUUUCGUUGGCCAAAAAAGUGCUUUUUCUAAAUUAAUAAAAACUGUAAACAUUUAUUAAAUAUGGUACGCCAUGAACUAUUUUGAUUAUUUAUAUCUUCAUUUCAGUCAGCAAGCUUAUAAAGAAGCAGUUUUGUGCAAAGGAAUAGUAUCUUUUUGCGUUAUCGUCCAUAGUAGUCGAAUUUUCGGGUUUUUUGACUUCUGAGAUGAAAUAUUGUUUAUUUAUAAUUAUCAAUGAAUUUGAAACGUGCAACCCGUCAAUCCUCACAGGCACAAUUUCCAGAAUAAAACGUUUUUAUUUAUUUGUUUCGGCAAAGUAGCAAAAUCGCGACAAUCGGGUGAGAAUUUGUAGUUCGUACUCAUUGCGUUCUUAUUUCACUUGCUAGUUCAAAUGGUCCUAAUGUAGUUCGCACAGUCGCGUGCAGUAUUUGCCUGCCUGUCUCUACCUCGAAUCCUGCUUGCCCAUGUCGCACUUCACACAGAUCAGUUGGUCGCAUGUGUAUUUACUUUCGUAAAAUCAUGUCUGUAUAUUAUCUAUGUGUAUUAUCUCGAUUUUGUAAACCCUCCGUUGUUGUACUGAUAUCUCGGGAUACAGAUCGUAUCGCUGUAUCGAAUAAAGUACUUUGUAUCAUUAUUUUAACUCUUCUUUGGCGCACUUACUUCUGGCCACGAUUUUGACACGCCGGAUCAAUUUGCCUCGGAUGGUGCUUCAUCCACCUGUCAUUAACAACCCUUUCGUGGGAUUUUAGUUUAUGAAAAAGUGAGCAUUCAAUGAAAAAUUCGUCCAGGUUAAAAUGACCCAGAGUUCCCAACGAAGUUAAUAAUCACCAUUUAUCGUUAAUUAUCAACCCGGUUCAUUCGCUACAGUUCUUUAUCGUUAAUUCGCGGAUCCUACGUCGAUAAUCUACAACCUCUAUCUAUCUCUCCAAACAGUAUUGGAGAUGAACAUAUUGCAUUAGUUAAAUGGGGUCUUCGAAGACCCCGCACGUUUACUGGAUUUACGAAAGUUGAUGCGCCUAAUGAAGGGUAAAUGCCCGAUAUAUAUGUGGGGAGUUCCAUACGAAAUGUGCAAUUUUUGGCCCGGACAUACAGUUUGGGAGCUACAGCGAUGUGAAAAAAAUAAUUACAAAUUUUGGAUUUGGUGUAACUCGCAACUUGUAAAAGGUAGAAUUUUUAUUAUAUAGAGGAAUUUUUUUUACAACCCAUAAAUGGACUAGACCAAGUUUGAGACAAAUCGGAAGGGGUGUGGACAAUUAAUUGCAUAUUUCGUAUGGAACUCCGCAUAUAUAUAUAUAUAUAUAUAAAGGUAUAUAAUAAAAUAUGGCCAGAAAAUACUCCUAUCUUCAAAAGUGAUACUUGGUAUUGAAAUAAUGGUUAACUUUACAUUUUUAUUUAAUUGAAGUAUCUCUUAUCUAUGGAAAAGUGUUCUCAUGUAUUGAGUUACUUGUUCAUCUAUGUUGGGACACAUAUAUUGUAACGUGUUCGACCGCUCCACCGGCUGGUUGAGCAAUCAACAUUACAGCUAACCACACCGACGCACUAACCGACGCAACGCAACGAAUGCAUACAAAGGACAGAUCACACCCAUGACGGACGAACCAACACCGAGACUAAUCCUUUUGUCGUUCCGGCAUCGUCCACUGCCGCAGGACAUCGGUAUAAAUAGGAAAGCCUCGAACACGGCCGGCAGAUACAAACGUAAUUGGGUUUUUGUAAAACAUGUUCUCUGAAAAACCAAUAUAUCAUAUAAUACUAAGUAUAUGAUAUUUUAAAAAAACGAACUAUACUUACUUUAACAAAUAAUACCAUGUUCACAAAAAUUGAGUUAUGUUCAAAGGACAGGCAUCUAAAUUACGUAGAACCCGUUGUAAAACAACCAAGAAUUUAAAACAAUAAAAACCUUUGAACCUUGAACGGCGUGCAGUAGUAGGAUGGCAUAGCGCCUCUUCGACUUAUUUCACGUCGUUAAACUAUAUAAAGCUCAUCCUGAAUCUGCAGCCUAAUUUAGCUUAAUUUAUACAUAGGCGAACCCCCUUUUCGAAGUAACAAUAGAAAUAAUAAAAAGGGAGUAAUGCAUACACGGAGAGACAUUUUAUAGAAAGAUUUAUUAAAAUCACGACCAGAUUUUACUAUUCUUUCUCACAGUCUGGGGACAUAUCGGCAUUUUAUCAUAAACUCCUAUGUUGCGUGGUAAUUCUCAAGGUUGCCAAUUGUUAUAGGAAUCUAACCUACAAAACUUUUCAUUUCUAUAUAUAUAUAUAUUAUGGGGAUUACACGGUAGAUAUUAUAUUUACAUCACAUUUGAUAAUUAGAGGGUUACGUCAGCCCCCUGACACACGCUGCUAAAAGUGGUUCGCAAAAUUUCCCUCGAUUCUGCCGCCAAUCUCCACCACUAGUGGCGCUAGUAGUUGUCUGACAAGCU
rnacentral:misc_RNA from 1 species